CUCCGCCCCGCUCCCCUCGCUCCCUCUCGGUGAGCUGGGGGCUCCCGGGGGCACCACCGGGGGCUCCCGGGGGCACCACCUGGGACUCCUUGGCUCCCUGAAAUCCGGGUGGCGCUGCAGUCCUGAUCCCCCCGGCCUGCGUCUCCCCAACUUUCCCGCUGAAUCUUCCAGUUCCGCGCCACCCUCCACCUCCCGUAGUGGGCACAGUAGGGCCCUUCCGGCAACCGGAUCCUGGAUUGCGUUCCACAUCCCCAGAUAGUGGAAUACUUGUGGAAUUAACGUCGUCAUCAAAUACAUUGAGCUCCAGCCACAAGCUGGGGUUGGAGGUCACCUGAAGCAAACGCCUCAGCUCUCCACGGUUCGCCUGUAUUCUGCCGUUCCAUCGGCGAUGACCGCAUCCAGGGGAUAGCGCUUCUUGCGGAUGCUGCGCCCGGAGGAGAUGAGGUCGGCAUAGCCACGCUGGUGGGAGAAAGCGUAGGCCGAGCGCCGUGCGGACACGCCCCGGCGGAACACAUUCUGCCGCCGCUUCCACUGCUCUUCGGCUUUUAACCGCUUUCGGUGCUUCUGAAUCUACGAAAGCAGGAGAGAUGGGAAAAUACCAACCUGUAAAUUGAAAUGCAGAUGGAAAGAGAACAUGUAUUCCGGCACUAUGAAGGUCAAACAUGAUGCCAAAAUAAAUUGCAAUGCUUCCAAAAAUUGAAAAAGCAUUCACAAAAGUCCAAUAAGAAGUAUCCAAGCCAAUCUGUUGGGAAACCAGAGAAAAACAGAGCACUCAUUUUGGGGAGUUAGCAAGAAAUAAAGGAUCUAAGGAUUCUGAAAAUAGAAUUCAGCAAUUUAAGCAUGGUAUGGCUCGAAUACUGAACAAUCAGAAGCUAUCUUUGACUCAGGCAAGAAAUAGGAAAUAUGUUUGGUAUAAGGGAUGAGAAUAGCAUCCAUUCAUAUUUGCAAAGCAGCAGAGCCUCAGUUGGAGGAAGAAUGGGAGCCAGGCGGAUGUGCACGCUGGUCUACAUACAGAAAUGCAUACAGUACCAACAGGUACUGAAAACAGUUGACUAAAGCCACAUACCUGGAAAUUGACUGUUAUUACAAGAGCAGAGGCAAUUGUGACAGCAAAAGAUUGGUAGUCUGAGGGCGCCUCUCCAUCCUGUCCCACAGUUUGCAGAUAAGCUCCAAGAGGUAUGAAGAAGAGGACCAAAGAUGUUAAAACCCCGUGCAACAAGCUUACGAAGAAUCUCCGGUAGUUGAAUAGUAAGUCUCUUUGUCCCACCAUGUAUAACUCGGGGAAGCGGAGGCUCAGUUUGUCGCUCACAUCCUUAAGGGGAAAACACAAUUACAGUUGAGUGCUGUCCAUCAGGAUCAAAGAACUCAAGAGAUACGUCACAACCUCCAUCUCGAAAGGAGUUGCAACUUGUUAAGUUCUAGGAAGGCAAAAACUAAACAAGAUGAUAAAUCCUGAAUAAUUUCAUUGUGCAGAGAGCAACCUCGUUACUGUAGUCCACCAUCAUUUGAUAUUUAAUUCUGAGACUAGGUAAAGUAUUACUAUUUUGCUACUUAAGAAAGCAGAUCAGUAAUGUUUAAAGAAGUGUAGGAAGCCGAUUUUUACUUUCUGAGAAUACAUUUUUUCUAAUACUUUGGGAAAGCAUUUUCACAUACACAUCGAUGAGUUAAUUCCAAAUUAUUCUUUUUAUUUUUGAAAGCAGUUUCUGUAAAAGUUGCUACUAGAUAAAAUGCGGACUAAUUUGGAAAUUAAACCUGUAAGUUUGGGGAGGUAUUAAAAUAAUUUACUUUAAAGAUGUGUAAGUUGUUAUUGUAGAGACAUACUGUUAGGUAUCUAACAAGAAAAUCUUAGUGUCCGAAAUGAAGGUAAUAAACUCUUUUGUCAAUGAAUUCAACCCAAGCACAGAAAUCCUCUUUUCUUACUAUAAAACAAGCAUAGCAGUUGCUCUGAUUGCCUGACAGCAGAAAUAUAAUAGGGUUUACUCAGAAAGAAGUGAAACCCAAAAGAAUGCAUUGAAAUAUUUGCUUUGAAACAGUCACUCAGUCUGUCCAGAAGCGACCCUGUCAGCGCCAGGCUCCUACCUGGUCGAGCAGCCCCAUGAGGAGGACGGGCAGGCUGGUGUAGAUCACAUUGUAGAGGGUGAUGAACCAGUCUUCGUACGCGGUCUGUGAGGAGAUGACAGAGUCUGUGUCACCGACGAAGAAAUGUCGCCCACCUAGUUAAUACGUGCGCAUCUGCCCUCAAAGCAGGGGUGUCCCCAGGGAAAGUAAACACCCCUCCCCCCACCAGCUAUGCCAGUAGCAGGCACGAGUUUGUUUUGAUGGAAUGGACAGAAUCAAAGGGCUUUCCACAGGCAAUUAUCUUCCCCGUAAAAUAAGUGGGGAAAUAGACUCUGAAAAGUUUUUGGAAGAGGAGUCUGGUCUAUUUGAAGAAUGCUGGAAAACAAAUCAGUGUUCAUCGUCUUUUAAUAUCCCUUUUAUUAAUGAAUUAGAUUACAUACAACUGGUUCAAAAGCACGUAAGUACCGUUCAAAUAUACUUUUCUCUUGCCAGUCCAGCAUUUCCAUUUAAACAUUUUAUGAACCAGAAUUUGAAUAUAAGAAAGAUGCUUCUGAAAAGGAUAAGCAAGGCUGUGCCCACCCCAGUCCUCAGUGGGGGAAUAGAGGAAAUGGGCUUACUCAGCACCAACAGUGAUACACCGUCCUGCACAGAAACAGGAAGAAGGCCCCAACCUUGCUCAAAACCCCAAGACAUCCUGGCCUCCAGUUUCUACACCUGGCCUCCUCUCAUGCCAGUUGUCUGUAGCAUAGCAUCAAAGAAGUUUGGACAACCACAGGCACACUAAUGGUGUGUUUCUGCCAUAUCAACAAUUUAACAUUGUAGAUAUGCCCCCACUCCCAUUUCAGCAAAAUGUUAAAAUUUAAAAACCAACAGUGGAGACGUGAUGUUAGAUCUAUGAUCAUCCCCAAUUUAUAUAAUCCCUUCAGCCCCAAUGUAAUUUUAUACUUAAAUUUGAACAAUUUUUUCAAAGUUGAACAAUUUGUUAUCACUAUUCUUAAUGGCAAGGUGACUUGGGAAAAAAAAAAUCUAUGGUGAAGGCAAAGAAACAUAAACAAAAGUCAACAGACCAGGAACAAAUCCUACUUUUUUAAAGGCAAAAUAAAAUAGGUUUAAAGCACCAGAAACAUUUUAGAAGAUUCAUAAACUUAAUCUGUACCUCAGCUGUUAAGAGAGAGCACCAAAACUGCAAAUAUGGAGGGGGAAGAAAAUUUCAGACGUAGUUUUAUUCAUGUAAGAGAAGAGCUCUACUCAUUUAAUAAUAAUGAUGAUGGUAUAUUACCUGUGCAGAGUACCCGUUGAAGAAGGAGUACCAGAAAUGAACCAAAGUAAAUGAAAAGUUUUUAUAAAAGAAGUAUCGUAGGAACUUGCACAUCCUUAUGUAAGACCACCUGCCGUGCACCAACAGCAGUCUCUGCAAGUAUCUGAACUGUGCAAAGGAAUAGUCACUUGACAUGACAGCUUGCAUGCCUUCUUGUCCACUUAUUCCAACACCAAUGUGGGCAGCUGUGGGGGUGGGGAGAAGAUAACUGAAUCAUAAGCUUAUUUUAAGGCAAAACAUUGAGAUGAUAAAAAUGUUUCCGUAGCAAUACAAAAAAAACCCCUCAAAUUUAUGAAACAAUAAAUGUGAAAACUGUUGCUCACCAUCCCCCACCCCCAGCUUCUGAACUCAGAAGUACGAGUUGCUAAACAUAGCACGUGGUUGGGCUUCCAUAAAUAUUUGUGAAAGGAUCUCAAGUGGGUAAUGAAUUCCAUUUGGAUUAUCUGCCCAGCUCAUAAGCCAUCCUUCUCAUCCAAAGGGUGAGCCCCAGGCAUCCAUGUGUACCGUGUGUCCCUGCCUCCCUUGCCACAGCUGAGUCAGCCAUGGGCAGAUACAUAAUCUAUGGUAGAUACUACGAAUUGGCUCUCCUUCAUUCUAGAACUUUUGUUCUAAUUGGAGAGGUGGGAAAGCAAAUAAAAACCCUACAUUGCUUCGA